GCGGGUAUCGUAUAAUGGUUUAUUAUAUUAGCCUUCCAAGCUGAGGAUACGGGUUCGAUUCCCGUUACCCGCU
rnacentral:tRNA from 2 species